rnacentral:rRNA from 1 species
AGCAUAUCAAUAAGCGGAGGAAAAGAAACCAACAGGGAUUGCCUCAGUAACGGCGAGUGAAGCGGCAACAGCUCAAAUUUGAAAUCUGGUCCUUGUGGCCCGAGUUGUAAUUUGCAGAGGAUGCUUUUGGCGCGGUGCCUUCCAAGUUCCCUGGAACGGGACGCCUUAGAGGGUGAGAGCCCCGUACGGUUGGACACCAAGCCUUUGUAAAGCUCCUUCGACGAGUCGAGUAGUUUGGGAAUGCUGCUCUAAAUGGGAGGUAUAUUUCUUCUAAAGCUAAAUACCGGCCAGAGACCGAUAGCGCACAAGUAGAGUGAUCGAAAGAUGAAAAGCACUUUGAAAAGAGGGUUAAACAGCACGUGAAAUUGUUAAAAGGGAAGCGCUUGUGACCAGACUUGCGCCCGGUGAAUCACCCAGCUCUCGCGGCUGGGGCACUUUGCCGGCUCAGGCCAGCAUCAGCUUGCCGUCGGGGACAAAAGCUUCGGGAACGUAGCUCUCUUCGGGGAGUGUUAUAGCCCGUUGCAUAAUACCCUUCGGCGGGCUGAGGUACGCGCUCCGCAAGGAUGCUGGCAUAAUGGUCAUCAGCGACCCGUCUUGAAACACGGACCAAGGAGUCAACCUUAUGUGCGAGUGUUCGGGUGUCAAACCCCUACGCGUAAUGAAAGUGAACGCAGGUGAGAGCUUCGGCGCAUCAUCGACCGAUCCUGAUGUUCUCGGAUGGAUUUGAGUAAGAGCAUAUAGGGUUGGACCCGAAAGAAGGUGAACUAUGCGUGUAUAGGGUGAAGCCAGAGGAAACUCUGGUGGAGGCUCGCAGCGGUUCUGACGUGCAAAUCGAUCGUCAAAUAUGCGCAUGGGGGCGAAAGACUAAUCGAACCUUCUAGUAGCUGGUUUCCCCA